rnacentral:lncRNA from 1 species
UACCAUUUAAAAGUGGCGAGGCCGUGACCAACAACAGUGUCCACGUCAGGGAGGAGCUAUGGCUGCAGCAGCACGAUGUGUAAUCGGAUGGUCUGGUCAGGUACAGAUUGGUGUGGGAUUUGUGAUGCCACUCAACAAGUGGCAUUACAUAUUCAAGUCUGCUUCCGACAGAAUGUGCACAUUAGAGGUGGCAUGGAACCU